GCGUCGGUGGCUCAGGGGUUUAAGCACUAGACUUGCAAUCUAUAGGUCCUGGGUUCGAAUCCCGCCAUGUA
rnacentral:tRNA from 1 species